rnacentral:rRNA from 1 species
AUGGGGAGGGUGAAGCUCAAGAUAAAGAAGCUGGAGAACACCAGCGGGCGGCAGGUGACAUAUUCUAAGCGACGGUCAGGGAUUCUCAAGAAGGCCAAAGAGUUGUCCAUUCUAUGUGAUAUCGAUCUCAUUCUUCUCAUGUUUUCUCCUAGUGGAAGGCCUACCAUAUGCGUCGGCGACAAAAGCCCCAUAGACGAAGUCAUUGCAAAGUAUGCACAACAAACUCCUCAGGAAAGGGCUAAAAGGAAGCUGGAGAGCUUAGAAGCACUAAAGAAGACAUUCAAGAAGCUAGACCAUGAUGUCAACAUUCAGGACUUCUUAGGCUCCGGGGGUCAGACGGUCGAGGAAUUAUCUAGUCAUCUUGGCGCAUUGCAAUGUCAAAUGGCAGAUGUUCAAAAGCGUCUCAGUUAUUGGAGCGAUCCAGAGAAGGUUGAGAAUAUAGACCAUAUAAGAGCAAUGGAGCAAUCUCUCAAAGAAUCUCUUAAUCGCAUCGGCAUUCAUAAGGAGAACUUUGCAAAGCAGCAUCUGAUGGGCCUACAGUGCCCUGCUGCUCAGUUCCAGAACGAGAUGCAGCUACCUCUGGGGUUAACCGGUGAUCCGAACCCUUCGUCGUGGUUCCACAACGGGGGCAGCAGCGAUGGACAGCCGCCCAUGAUGUUACCUGAAGACCCCAGCUUGCUCCAUCAGAGGGACAUCGGGUGCUCGACGAGCACGUCACUGCAGAGCUACCCGGGCUACUUCAGCAUGAGCAAGCAGUCGACGGACACCGCCGCGGGCGAGCAGCAGCACCAGCAGGCGGCGGGGGUACGUCAGCACCAGCACCAGCACCAGCAGCCGGAGUUCAGCCAGGGCGACUGCCUGACGUCACUGCAUCUCGGCGCGCAGUUCCCGUACCAGUCCGCCUUCGACCACGCCAGCCUCCUCAACGACAGGCUCUUCAGGCCGGACAUGGAGCUGCACGUCGACAACGCGGCGGCCUCAGCCAUGGACUUCGUCGGCGGCCACUACGAAAUGCCGAGGCCUGGCGACGAGGCCAGCUUCCAGAACUGGGCAUCGGCGGCAUGCGGCGCCACCAUGUACGAUCACCAGCAGCAGCCGCCAUCUGCCCAACUUAUUGUUCAGAACAUUACUGAAUCCCUGACCGUCAGCUCCCUGCAGCAGCAACUCUGA